GUGGAUUAGAUACCCUGGUAGUCCACGCCGUAAACGAUGGAUACUAGCUGUUGGGAGCAAUUUCAGUGGCUAAGCGAAAGUGAUAAGUAUCCCACCUGGGGAGUACGUUCGCAAGAAUGAAACUCAAAGGAAUUGACGGGGGCCCGCACAAGCGGUGGAGCAUGUGGUUUAAUUCGAUGAUACGCGAGGAACCUUACCAAGGCUUAAAUGUAGUCUGACAGGACUGGAAACAGUUUUUUCUUCGGACAGAUUACAAGGUGCUGCACGGUUGUCGUCAGCU
rnacentral:rRNA from 1 species